ACAACUACAGAGCCUUCAGAAAGUAUUCAGACCCCUUGACUUAUUCCACAUUUUGUCGUGUUACAGUCCCCAGACUAUAGACAGAGAACCCCUCCCCCACUAUAGAAACAUUAUCUUUCCUGAUUUUUAGUGUGACCUUCCUAAAAGAGAGAAGAAAAAAAACGUAAGGUUUUAUCUGGUUCCCGUUUCUCAACCUUUCACUAUUUCUUUCCAUUUCAAUUCGAAGAGCUUUAUUUACAUGGGAAACAUAUGUUAACAUUUCCAAAGCAAGUUAAAUAGAUAAUAAACAAAUGUGAAAUAAAACAUGAACAGUAAACAUUACUCUCACAGAAGUUCCAAAAGAAUAAAGACAUUUCAAAUGUCAUAUGUAUUUAUACAGUCAAAAGGGAAAAUAAAUCAACAUAAAUAUGGGUUGUAUUUACAAUGGUGUUUGUUCUUCACUGGUUCCCUUUUCUCGGGGCAACAGGUCACACACUGCUGUGAUGUCACACUGUGGAAUUUCACCCAAUAGAUAUGGGAGUUUAUCAAAAUUGUAUUUGUUUUCAAAUUCUUUGUGGGUCUGGAAUCUGAGGGUCUCUCUAAUAUGGUCAUACAUUUGUCAGGAGGUUAGGAAGUGCAGCUCAGUUUCCACCUCAUUUUGUGGGCAGUGUGCACAUAGCCUGUCUUCUAUUGAGAGCCAGGUCUUCCUUCGGUGGCCUUUCUCAAUAGCAAGGCUAUGCUCAGAGUCUGUACAUAGUCAAAGCUUUCCUUAAGUUUGGGUCAGUCACAGUGGUCAGGUAUUCUGCCACUGUGUUCUCUCUGUUUAGGGCCAAAUAGCAUUCUAGUUUGCUCUGUUUUUUUUGUAAAUUCCUUCCAAUGUUUCAAGUAAUUAUCUUUUUGUUUUCUCAUGAUUUGGUUGGGUCUAAUUGUUGCUCUGUGGGGUGUGUUUGUGUUUGUGAACAGAGCCCCAGGACCAGCUUGCUUAGGGGACUCUUCUCCAGGUUCAUCUCUCUGUAGGUGAUGGCUCUGUGGGGUGUGUUUGUGUUUGUGAACAGAGCUCCAGGACCAGCUUGCUUAGGGGACUCUUCUCCAGGUUCAUCUCUCUGUAGGGUGUGUUUGUGAACAGAGCCCCAGGACCAGCUUGCUUAGGGGACUCUUCUCCAGGUUCAUCUCUCUGUAGGGUGUGUUUGUGAACAGAGCUCCAGGACCAGCUUGCUUAGGGGACUCUUCUCCAGGUUCAUCUCUCUGUAGGGUGUGUUUGUGAACAGAGCUCCAGGACCAGCUUGCUUAGGGGACUCUUCUCCAGGUUCAUCUCUCUGUAGGUGAUGGCUCUGUGGGGUGUGUUUGUGUUUGUGAACAGAGCUCCAGGACCAGCUUGCUUAGGGGACUCUUCUCCAGGUUCAUCUCUCUGUAGGGUGUGUUUGUGAACAGAGCUCCAGGACCAGCUUGCUUAGGGGACUCUUCUCCAGGUUAAUCUCUCUGUAGGGUGUGUUUGUGAACAGAGCCCCAGGACCAGCUUGCUUAGGGGACUCUUCUCCAGGUUCAUCUCUCUGUAGGGUGUGUUUGUGAACAGAGCUCCAGGACCAGCUUGCUUUAGGGGACUCUUCUCCAGGUUCAUCUCUCUGUAGGGUGUGUUUGUGAACAGAGCUCCAGGACCAGCUUGCUUAGGGGACUCUUCUCCAGGUUCAUCUCUCUGUAGGUGAGGGCUUUGUUAUGGAAGGUUUGGGAAUCGCUUCUUUUUAGUUGGUUUUAGCAUUUAACGGCUCUUUUCUGGAUUUUGAUAAUUAGUGGGUAUCGGCCUAAUUCUGCUCUGCGUGCAUUAUUUGGUGUUUUACUUUGUACAUGGAAAAUACAUUUACAUUACAUUUAAGUCAUUUAGCAGACGCUCUUAUCCAGAGCGACUUACAAUAUUUUUGCAUAAUUCUGCAUGCAGAGUCUCAAUUUGGUGUUUGCCCCAUUUUGCGAGUUCUUGGUUGGUGAGUGGACCCCAGACCUCACAACCAUGAAGGGCAAUGGGUUCCAUAACCGAUUCAAGUAUUUUUUUAGCCAGAUCCUGGUAUGUUGAAUGUUAUGUUCCUUUUAAUGGCAUUGAAGGCCCGUCGUCUUGCCUCAUCUCUCAGAUCGUUCACAGCUUUGUGGAAGUUACCUGUGGCGCUGAUGUUUAGGCCAAAUCAAAUUUAUUUAUAAAUCCCUUACAUCAGUUGAUAUCUCAAAGUGCUGUACAGAUACCCAGCCGAAAACCCCAAACAGCAAGCAAUGCAGGUGUAGAAGCACGGUGGCUAGAAAAAACUCCCUAGGAAGAAACCUAGAGAGGAACCAGGCUCUGAGAACGUGAGAGAGCGAGGAUGUGAUCAGGGAGAGAGGAGUGAUCGGUCUUUGGUUCCAAAUAUUGGGGAAUAAGGGCUAAGGAUGAGUUUAAGUAUUGCCAAUUGGAUUUUCUGGACUAUAUAUUUUAUCAUUUCAUUUAGGAUACUAUCAACACCACAGCAUACCCCCUGAGUCUCUCCCUUUCUCUCUCUGUCCCGCUCCCGCUCUCUGUCCCGCUCUCUGUCCCGCUCUCUGUCCCGCUCUCUGUCCCGCUCUCUGUCCCGCUCUCUGUCCCGCUCUCUCUCUCUCGCUCUCUGUCCCGCUCUCUCUCUCUCUCUCUGUCCCGCUCUCUCUCUCUGUCCCGCUCUCUCUCUCUGUCCCGCUCUCUGUCCCGCUCUCUGUCCCGCUCUCUGUCCCGCUCCCGCUCUCUGUCCCGCUCUCUGUCCCGCUCUCUCUCUCUGUCCCGCUCUCUCUCUCUGUCCCGCUCUCUCUCUCUGUCCCGCUCUCUGUCCCGCUCUCUCUCUCUCUCUCGCUCUCUGUCCCGCUCUCUCUCUC